GAUGAACGCUGGCGGCGUGCUUAACACAUGCAAGUCGAACGGUGAAGCUCCAGCUUGCUGGAGUGGAUCAGUGGCGAACGGGUGAGUAACACGUGAGCAACCUGCCCCUGACUCUGGGAUAACAGCCGGAAACGGCUGCUAAUACCGGAUAUGCACCAUGAACGCAUGUUCUGUGGUGGGAAAGAUUUUUCGGUUGGGGAUGGGCUCGCGGCCUAUCAGCUUGUUGGUGAGGUAAUGGCUCACCAAGGCGUCGACGGGUAGCCGGCCUGAGAGGGUGACCGGCCACAAUGGGACUGAGACACGGCCCAGACUCCUACGGGAGGCAGCAGUGGGGAAUAUUGCACAAUGGGCGAAAGCCUGAUGCAGCAACGCCGCGUGAGGGAUGACGGCCUUCGGGUUGUAAACCUCUUUUAGCAGGGAAGAAGCGAGAGUGACGGUACCUGCAGAAAAAGCGCCGGCUAACUACGUG
rnacentral:rRNA from 1 species